CCUGCUCUGACUUUGAUAAUACCAAUACACUGGAUAGAGACCUCCAAGUCCUCCUACUUAGUCAACAACUUUUUGUUAAGUGCAAAUUUUGUCCAUGGCUCUAUGUUUAGUCUGCUGUAGCUACAAAAUGAAUGAGAUGACCCUUCCUUCAAAGAUCUGGGACUAAGAGAUCAAAAAGGAUUGACAUCAGAAAGGAGAACAAAAAGCCAGUCCACAUAAGAUUGUGGAGUGACAAUAGGGAGAUUUAAGCACACACACUCAUAUGGCUUCAAUUUUGUGAAUUCCUGGGAGGCAAAAUAAUGUGCUAGGGAAAGAGUAAAUUACAUUCUAGCUUCAGUUGUUGGGAAACAUUUGAAAGUACCGCUGUGAAAAUGUCAAAGUGGUAUCCACAUAUUUUUCCCCCAAUAUCAGAAAGCUCCUAAAAUCUAUUUGAUUACUCAAGCUUGAAAAGUCCUGUCAACUUUUGACAUAAAACAUAGAUUGGGUUUUGAGUCAUAUCUAUAACUAAAUAAUGACUGUGGUUAUUUUUUUCCCCCUUCUUUGUCUUGACUUUGAUUUCUUAUCCCCUUCUAUAGAAUUAAGACCAACUCUGGGCAAAAUAGUGAAGCAAAGGAAGGAAAGAAAAGGGAAGAAGAAAGGAACAUGGAUUGAGAAGGCCUGCUGUGUUCCAGCUUCGCUGCAAUUUCGACAUGUCAUUAACCAUGGAGGACUGAGCUGAAGCCGUAAGUACUGAUCAGAAGUUCUUGUUCUCAUAACACCCUUAUUGGAACAUUUCAACUUGGAAGUUGAUCUAAUGUGUUGAUCCUGGACACAUCUUAACACUUCGCUAAUUGAUAUGAUUUUACAUGCUUCUGCACUUUCCAGGUGUCUUACCUUGCUCUCAACUGCUAUUUCUUGUGAUUGUCAGUAUAUCUGAGAGGAGCUUUUCUCUCUGGUGAUUUUCUGCUAUUUAUGUGAAGUGGACUUUGAAACAAUAUUGCUAAAGAACUUGCUAAAAUCAAGUGCUGCAUGGGAGUAAAUAUUUUGUGAGUGAGGAAAGGAGGUUUACAGAUGAGCAAAGUGAAUGAACUCCAGUACACUGUGUUCUGUUUACUCUGUCCCUAAACAGGUUCAAAGCACUUUUGGUUGCUCUCUGUUUCUUAACUAUGUUUCAGAUGGAUAAAUCUUGCUGAUGUUUGAGUUCCAUUAGGGCAUAUGGAAUGUUUUCAGUGAAGGAAGACUUCAUGUGUUGAAGGAAGGAUCCACUGAGUGAAUUAUUCAAGAGUGACUAUUGUAGUGAUUACUGCUCAGAGUCUAGAAUCAUUGUGGAUCUGCCUGUCAUUCACAAGGGUAUACUUAGAGGGAACUAGUAUAACAAAUGCUAUUUCCUAUCUGAUUUCUCAAUAGUUGGUUGCAUAAACUAGCCUUUCCAUCUCUACAAUAAAGUUCCUAGUGAAAAGAAAAAGAGGGAAGUC
rnacentral:lncRNA from 1 species